AUCAUCACAUAUCCAAAACUUGGCUCCGGAAUAAGCCCCGGCAGUGUGGGCCGAUCGUUAGGCGGGAGCACGGCAACGAAACGGACGCUAAAUUAUUUAACCGGAAGAAUGAAGCUCUUCCAAAGCUACCAAGUAUAAAUAUUCGUGACCAUUUUCGAGGGUAGCAAAAGGAUAAAAAUCAGAGUUACGUGUAUCUAAAAUAUCCCUCAACAGAAGGCAUACUUUUCGGCCGUAUGAGAUCUGGCAGAUCUGUGGCGCAAAACCAGAUUGGCUCUGGCGGAUGAUGACUAAUCGGCUGGCUGUGGGCUCCUUCGCAUGCCGAGAUCGUGACUCAGAGCCUAUAACUCUACAGUAGAGCUUCCAUAGCUCGAACUUCCAUAUUCUAUAUCUUCAUAAGUCUAACUUGCCGUAUUAACAGUUGCCGAAGUUGGACUGUAAUCUCGGCCGGAUCGCAUUUGACAUUGACACAGGCGAAGGCGAAGGCAUUGGGGCAAGGAGAGACGCAGGUCAGAGAGUGGAGAAACGGAGGAGGAGAAAGAGAGAGGCUGAGAGGGUGAAAGAGAACAAGGUAACGUGUUUGAAUGAAUUAUAAUGCCAAGCGGGUUUUUGUUUUGGAAAGGCUUUUCGUAAAGCCCCCGCAGAGAAUGGAGAUUGGAGAAUGGAAAGCUCUCUCAACCCUCAAAAGGUUAUUUGCCGGGCUCUAAUCUUGGGAAGUGAGUAUGGGAAUCAGAACGAGUGUUUGUUAUUGCUGGCCGAUGGCCAAGAGCGGCCACACGUCAUCGGUUGGUAAUUGGAAUUGGGGAGUGAGAGUAAGAGUGACCCCAGACGAAGAAGGAACACAUUUGAAGGGCGCAACCGCAAUCGCCCACCUGAUGCGACAGUGAUCGCGGAAAGUAUCCACUCGAAGUCAAAGGUAAUAAUAUCGAACACUCACCUUCCUU